rnacentral:rRNA from 1 species
AUUGAACGCUGGCGGCAGGCCUAACACAUGCAAGUCGAACGGUAACAGGAAGAAGCUUGCUUCUUUGCUGACGAGUGGCGGCCGGGUGAGUAAUGUCUGGGAAACUGCCUGAUGGAGGGGGAUAACUACUGGAAACGGUAGCUAAUACCGCAUAACGUCGCAAGACCAAAGAGGGGGACCUUCGGGCCUCUUGCCAUCGGAUGUGCCCAGAUGGGAUUAGCUAGUAGGUGGGGUAACGGCUCACCUAGGCGACGAUCCCUAGCUGGUCUGAGAGGAUGACCAGCCACACUGGAACUGAGACACGGUCCAGACUCCUACGGGAGGCAGCAGUGGGGAAUAUUGCACAAUGGGCGCAAGCCUGAUGCAGCCAUGCCGCGUGUAUGAAGAAGGCCUUCGGGUUGUAAAGUACUUUCAGCGGGGAGGAAGGGAGUAAAGUUAAUACCUUCGCUCAUUGACGUUACCCGCAGAAGAAGCACCGGCUAACUCCGUG